UGUGUCUCAUCAUCAUCAUCAUCGUGUCUCAUCAUCGUUUUGAAACUAAAGUUUCAGAAGCAAGAAUGGCUCUUUAUCGUGUGGCUGUUUUGGCGCUCGUCGUUCUCCUGCUGCUUUAUGUUGCAGACAACGAGGCUUUUCAGUGCUCUUCGGUUGGUUCAGGAAACUGUAGAACUCAGUGCUUUGGGCAUGAAGUUCAUCUAAGCCAGGCUUCCUGCGCUGGUGGACAAAAAUGUUGCUACCCGGAUUAUUGGGAAAAGUAGGCUCGCUACAAGACUCAGCAGAUGUUUGGACAGACACACGACGUGGAGUGGAGACGUGGAGGAGUUGACUCUUAACGCGGAUGACUUCAAAAUGUUAAAACAACCUGCUUGUUGCUGAUUCCUGAAUAAAAAUAUUCUUGGUUGACAUCA